AUUGAACGCUGGCGGCAGGCCUAACACAUGCCAGUCGAACGGUAACAGGAAGAAGCUUGCUUCUUUGCUGACGAGUGGCGGACGGGUGAGUAAUGUCUGGGAAACUGCCUGAUGGAGGGGGAUAACUACUGGAAACGGUAGCUAAUACCGCAUAACGUCGCAAGACCAAAGAGGGGGACCUUCGGGCCUCUUGCCAUCGGAUGUGCCCAGAUGGGAUUAGCUAGUAGGUGGGGUAACGGCUCACCUAGGCGACGAUCCCUAGCUGGUCUGAGAGGAUGACCAGCCACACUGGAACUGAGACACGGUCCAGACUCCUACGGGAGGCAGCAGUGGGGAAUAUUGCACAAUGGGCGCAAGCCUGAUGCAGCCAUGCCGCGUGUAUGAAGAAGGCCUUCGGGUUGUGAAGUACUUUCAGCGGGGAGGAAGGGAGUAAAGUUAAUACCUUUGCUAAUUGACGUUACCCGCAGAAGAAGCACCGGCUAACUCCGUG
rnacentral:rRNA from 1 species